GACGAACGCUGGCGGCGUGCUUAACACAUGCAAGUCGAACGGAAAGGCCCUGCUUUUGUGGGGUGCUCGAGUGGCGAACGGGUGAGUAACACGUGAGUAACCUGCCCUUGACUUUGGGAUAACUUCAGGAAACUGGGGCUAAUACCGGAUAGGAGCUCCUGCUGCAUGGUGGGGGUUGGAAAGUUUCGGCGGUUGGGGAUGGACUCGCGGCUUAUCAGCUUGUUGGUGGGGUAGUGGCUUACCAAGGCUUUGACGGGUAGCCGGCCUGAGAGGGUGACCGGCCACAUUGGGACUGAGAUACGGCCCAGACUCCUACGGGAGGCAGCAGUGGGGAAUAUUGCAUAAUGGGCGGAAGCCUGAUGCAGCAACGCCGCGUGCGGGAUGACGGCCUUCGGGUUGUAACCCGCUUUCGCCUGUGACGAAGCGUGAGUGACGGUAAUGGGUAAAGAAGCACCGGCUAACUACGU
rnacentral:rRNA from 1 species